ACAACAGCCUGUGGAUUAGUGGUAAAAUUCGUCGUUGCCAUCGACGAGCCCCGGUUCGAUUCCCGGCUGUUGCA